GCCUUUGUAAAUAACACCGGACAGCUGCUUCGCGCAUUUUUUGUGCGUCGUUCGGAAAUGAGUUUACGGGUUGAUUAUACAAAUUUGUUUGAAUAUACAAAAAAAUAAUCGAAAUAUAGUAUAAAAAUGAGCUAACCACAGGAUUCAGCAGCAAAUACAUGCACAGCACAGGGCCUGCUGCUAAACAUUGAAAUAUGCUUGCUAUGGAGGAAGUCGUUACAGAAGGCAAGCGAAAUGACAGCUAGAACGCCACAUCAUUUACCGAGUGUAUGUAUAAAAGCUAUUGCAACUCAAUGUUUGUGUGCAAAACUGCCGAAAGUUGAUAAUUCCAUACAUUUUGAACUUCUUUUGUACAAAUUUAAUGAGGAACAUUGCAAAUUCAAUUAAUAAACGGCAAGCGGCUGGGUGACCGACCGCAGCCUGGACAUCUGCAGCCUAGGGUUCGAUAAAACACCAUUUCAGGUUACAUUUUGCUGCGGCAUUUGUAAUUUACAUGUUAAGCAUCACUCGUGCAGUGCCUGGUGAUUGCAGUUUGCAUAAAUUAAACAUCGUUAUGAAUUUUUAUGAUAAUUCCUAUGCACUACGCGAUAUAUUUAAGCUGUGUUAUGAAGAGCAAGUUGUUGCGGCAGUAAUUAAAUUGUACGGCUGGCGAAAAUGUGCAAUAUUAAGUGCGGAAUGUUUAAAUUUAUCGAUUGCAUGUGUAAAUUAAAAGCGUAAAAAUUAAACAAGAAUAAAUAAAUGAAAAGUAAAAUAUUAUUACCAAGGCUUUAUCAGUUAUACUUCAAAAAAAUUACAUCAUAUACAUAGUUACAUUACAUCUAUAAGAACAUUUCAUCAGCUCAUAGUGUUAAGAAAAUAUCACGGUAAGUUUUAAUGUUUGUUUUUUUUUUAUAAAUUUCUUCAAAUAUUUUGUAGUUAUUGCCUAACACUCAUGUAAAUUUGCCACCUCACUGUUA